rnacentral:lncRNA from 1 species
UCGUGCCUCUCUCCCAUUGCAGGUUCUUCAAUGGCGAGGACUCAGCCCGAUGCUGCCGCUUAGCCCGAAGCCCACUCCUUAUCGCGCUGUCGCCGGACCUCGUCGAUGACACCAACAGCCUCGGCGACUGAUUCGUGCAUGGAUGGCAGAUCCAAAGCCGCAUCCCCAACGCCAGACGCACCACCCUCACUGCCCAUAAAGCAACCUAAGACCACAACAUUGGUCUUGGAGGCUUCAGAGGACAGCAGCGAGAAUACAACCUCGACUGCUAGUGAUAAAAGACCAACGGGUCAGGAGGCAGAAGCCACCAGUGAGGAGACUCAGGUUGAUUCUCCUCCAAAGAAAAACUAGAAAAAGUGAAUGCCCAGGAUAGCUGAUAGAAAGGCCAGAUAUCUACCCGCGAAGCAUGACCUGCACGACAACUUUAACUUUGAAGGCGACGAUGAGGUCAGGUAUAAAAUCUUUCUCCAUUCUAAUAUAUUUAUUUGUAAGAAAACAAAUGAUGAUGCCUUGAUCCAAUUGCAAUUAUAUGAUGAGAUUUAUGCUUUAAUUAACAAUAUUGGGUGGAGAAAAUUUUGACAUAAACUGUUCUUCCUAUGUUGAACUUUGCCAUGAGUUUUAUACCGCCUAUGAAUUUUCUUUUGAUGUGCAGAAUUUUAAUUUGAAUAUGCUUAUAAUUCAGUUUAGGUUGCAGAAUAAAAUGGUUAAUUGUUCAGUCACAGCUUUUAAUUUGCAUUUAGGUGUUUAUAAUGACGAAUAUGUUAAACUGCUGAGUAUUUGGACUUAUUGUGUGAUUAUCUAGUUGGUUGGGAUCCAAUUUUGGCAUAUAAGGAAUUAACAGGGAAACCUGAGGUUAAAUUAGGGGUGGGAAAUCUAAGGCUAAUAAUAUUUAGAGCCCUACCCUUAGAUACAUUCACAGGUUCCUUUGUUAUAUAUUUUAUGGAAAAAAUAAGGAUCCCACCAUGCUGACAAAAUAUGAACUCUUCUUCUUGUGAAGCAUAUUAAAUAAAAGAAAGGUUAACUUUGGUUUUUGGUUAGCUUCCCAGUUUAAAAGUAUAUCUGAUGUUGAGCGUGGUAUAUAUCUUGGUUCUAUGAUUUUAAUACUAGCUAUAGGAUUGGGUGUGCUUGACACUGAAAACAUUGAUUUUGCACAUAGCUGAGUAUAUUCUUCCAUUUGAUGUACCUGCACUUAAUUCUAUGGGCUUACUUUGCCUCCUAUCAUUCAACUAUGAUCACGCUUAUUUCGGACAGAGGACAAGUCAGCCCCAGCUUCCUUAGCAGCACCUCUAGAACCUAGUGAUCAAGCCGCCUAGCUAGAAUUGAAGUGAAAAUGCACCACAUUGAUGCAAAAUUGGACGCCAUUUUCUCUCAUUUGGGGUUACCCAUACCCCAACCACCACCAGCCUGAGUUUUUAAUGACUUACUCUUCAGGGAAGUUCUCUUUGACUCACUUUUGCUAAUUUAUUUGUAAACUUCCCCCGUUGCUUGAAUUUUUCCACAUUGAGUACAAUGUGAGGANNNNNNNNNNGGGGGAGAAGUAAUUGGGAUAGAAGUGAUUUUUUUGAUUGGUUGAUGGGUUGAUGUACAUAUUUUUCUGUGUUUAGAAAAUUUUUCUUCUAUUAUGCUGUUUUUGCACAAUUUUUCUAUUGAUUGCUAGAGGUUUGCCCAAGCCUGUAAGACUUUUUCUGAUUCUCGGCAGUUUCUCAACACUUGCACUUGCUGAAUUGUUCUCGGAUUUUAAUUUUUCUGGGUGUUUCCAGUAUUAUUUUCAGUUUUAAAUUUUAUAUAAAAAAAUAUCAUAGAAUUCAAGUCCUUAUGACAUUUGUAUGCUAGCUUAAAUAAAAUAAAUUCAUCAUUGUUUAUUUUAUUAGUUUUAUUUUUUAAGGUUUGUUUUGGAAACUCAUGAAGCAUGAUCCUUAUUUAAAUAGUUGGGUAAUGAAUGCAUAUUCUUUUAAAUGAGUUGUUGCCCUUUGUUGAGAAUGAUUUAAAGGGCAUUAUCUAGACCAUGUGUUUAUGUGAAAAUUAAGGGGUGUCAUCAAAGAAAGAAAGAAAAAAAAAAAGAAUAAUAGCAAAAGCAAAAAUCAGAAAUUAAUGCCAUAUGACCCACUCCUCUAGUUGCUUGAUUAAUUGGUUACCAACUUGAUGGCCUAAGUAGUGCGGUAUUUGGUGACUCCUUAAGGUGAUUCUGUAUAGAACAAUCGGUGUUUGAGAGAGUAUCACCCCUUCGUAGACCAUUUAAAUACUCGCUCCAUGUCCUUUAAUUUGGUGACUAUGAGUGGAGCUAGUAACCACCUAAGCUGAAUAACCUGAGGCAAGUGGCUCAGUAACCAUUUGUUUCAUGUUUACUUUAUCGGUUAGUAGGAAGUGUAAAAAAAUAAUCUCCCAAGUCUUUGAAUUUUAUUGGUCUAACCAAGAGUUUCUAAGAGUUUAUUCUUUCAAAAGGGCAGUUUAAUAUUAUAUAGCAUUCUAAUAUUUUGUGUGCUUAAAAUUGAUUGAGGGCCAACUUUAUAUAUUGAGAAACACGCUUUAAACAUGAAACUUGUUGAAGUGAACUUUGGUGAAAUUAAACUAUUUCUACUGUCAUCCUAUUGCAUGACAAUUUAGUUCUUUGUUUUGAACAAAAUAAAUUUCAGAUUGGUUGAGGAUAAGACUGUGUUUUCUUGUUAUAUUUGAAUUUCUAUGCUUGGGGACAAGCAAAGGUGCAAGUGUGGGG